rnacentral:rRNA from 1 species
UACGAAGGGGGCUAGCGUUGUUCGGAUUUACUGGGCGUAAAGCGCACGUAGGCGGAUUGUUAAGUGAGGGGUGAAAUCCUGGAGCUCAACUCCAGAACUGCCUUUCAUACUGGCAAUCUAGAGUCCGGAAGAGGUAAGUGGAACUCCUAGUGUAGAGGUGGAAUUCGUAGAUAUUCGCAAGAACACCAGUGGCGAAGGCGGCUCACUGGCCCGGUACUGACGCUGAGGUGCGAAAGCGUGGGGAGCAAACAGGG